rnacentral:rRNA from 1 species
CCUACGGGAGGCAGCAGUAGGGAAUUUUCCACAAUGGGCGAAAGCCUGAUGGAGCAAUACCGCGUGCAGGAUGAAGGCCUUCGGGUCGUAAACUGCUUUUAUGUGCGAAGAAUUUGACGGUAACACAUGAAUAAGGAUCGGCUAACUACGUGCCAGCAGCCGCGGUCAUACGUAGGAUCCAAGCGUUAUCCGGAAUUACUGGGCGUAAAGAGUUGCGUAGGUGGCAUUAUAAGUGGAGCGUGAAAGCGUGCGGCUCAACCGCAUUAUUGCGUUCCAAACUGUGAAGCUUGAGUAUGGGAGAGGUAGAUGGAAUUUCUAGUGUAGGAGUGAAAUCCGUAGAUAUUAGAAGGAACACCGAUGGCGUAGGCAGUCUACUGGCCCAUUACUGACACUAAGGCACGAAAGCGUGGGGAGCAAACGGGAUUAGAUACCCCGGUAGUCCACGCUGUAAACUAUGGAUGCUAGCUGUGACACACAUCGACCUGUGUCGUAGCGAAGUUAACGCGUUAAGCAUCCCGCCUGGGGAUACGGUCGCAAGNUUAAAACUCAAAUGAAUUGACGG